GACGAACGCUGGCGGCGUGCCUAACACAUGCAAGUCGAGCGAGGAACUUGCAACUGAUUCCUUCGGGAUGAAGAUGUAGGUUUCCUAGCGGCGGACGGGUGAGUAACGCGUGAGAAACCUGCCUUUCACUAGGGGAUAGCCUCGGGAAACCGGGAUUAAUACCCUAUGACACUUAAGGGUCGCAUGGCCUUUAAGUUAAAGCGCUUUAGCGGUGGAAGAUGGUCUCGCGUCCCAUUAGCUAGUUGGUGAGGUAAAGGCUCACCAAGGCGACGAUGGGUAGCCGGCCUGAGAGGGUGACCGGCCACACUGGAACUGAGACACGGUCCAGACUCCUACGGGAGGCAGCAGUGGGGAAUAUUGCACAAUGGAGGAAACUCUGAUGCAGCGACGCCGCGUGAGUGAUGAAGGCCUUCGGGUCGUAAAGCGUCUGUCCUAGGGGACGAUAAUGACGGUACCCGUAGGAGGAAGCCCCGGCGUAACUACGUGCCAGCAGCCGCGGUAAUAGUACUCUA
rnacentral:rRNA from 1 species